rnacentral:rRNA from 1 species
AUUGAACGCUGGCGGCAUGCUUUACACAUGCAAGUCGAACGGUAACAGGCCUUCGAGCGCUGACGAGUGGCGAACGGGUGAGUAAUGCAUCGGAACGUGCCCAGAGGUGGGGGAUAACGCAGCGAAAGCUGUGCUAAUACCGCAUAUUAUCUGAGGAUGAAAGCGGGGGACUAAGCAGCAAUGUUUGGCCUCGCGCCUUUGGAGCGGCCGAUGUCAGAUUAGGUAGUUGGUGGGGUAAAGGCCUACCAAGCCGACGAUCUGUAGCUGGUCUGAGAGGACGACCAGCCACACUGGGACUGAGACACGGCCCAGACUCCUACGGGAGGCAGCAGUGGGGAAUUUUGGACAAUGGGCGCAAGCCUGAUCCAGCAAUGCCGCGUGCAGGAAGAAGGCCUUCGGGUUGUAAACUGCUUUUGUACGGAACGAAAAGGCUCUGGUUAAUACCUGGGGCUCAUGACGGUACCGUAAGAAUAAGCACCGGCUAACUACGUG